rnacentral:misc_RNA from 1 species
UAUUCUCAACUCUACAAAGCUUUUGCAAUGAAGAGUUGGAUUUGGAGGUAGUGUCGGCUUGAAAGAGUUGACUCCUCUUAAAUGCAUCAGUGUGAACCAUUACGGAUCGCCUUCAGUGUGAUAAUGUCUACGCUGUGGUGUUGAAGUAUCUCUAGUGCUCAUGCUUCUAACAGUCCUUUCAUGGACAACUUUGACA